rnacentral:rRNA from 1 species
AAAAGCACUUUGGAAAGAGAGUGCAAGAGAUCGUGAAACCAAUAUGAAGGAAACAAACGUAGCCGACGGAUUAGGUAUGCAUUCAUCUAUGGUCUUCGGAUUGUGGUGCACUUGUGUACUGGUUGCGCUGGGUCUAUCGAUGCUGUUGUUUGAUGGGGGCAAGUGUGGACCGGCUUGUACGGAUACCUGUGCUCUUGGAUGGCAAUUAGUGUUGGUAGGGUUGUUGAGGUUGGCGUUUGUGGCUGCGUGUGGGAGUGCAUUGACCUUUGUGGUAGCACAUGUGUUGCUGUARAGUGUUGGUGUGCAUCUGUGCGUAGUUGCUCGUUGAUCUUCCCGGUGUCUAGUUGGUGAUACGUUUGACCCGUCUUGAAACACGGACCAAGGAGUUUAAAGUAUGCGCGAGUCAGAGAGUGGUGAAACUCAACGGCGUAAUGAAAGUGAAUAGCGUAUGUUAUGUCGAUGUGAUGGUGGGCUUGUCCUACUCGCAGCAUCGCCCCAUGCUGGAACUUCGGUUUGGUAUGGCGGUUGAGCGCAUGCUUUGAGACCCGAAAGAUGGUGAACUAUGCUCGAACAGGAUGAAGCCAGGGGAAACCCUGGUGGAAGUCCGAAGCGGUUCUGACGUGCAAAUCGAUCGUCUGAUUUGAGUAUAGGGGCGAAAGACUAAUCGAACUAUC